AACAGGAUUAGAUACCCUGGUAGUCCUAGCCCUAAACGAUGAUUGUUUGAUGUGGGGGGUACCCAAUCCUCCCGUGUCGAAGCUAACGCGAUAAACAAUCCGCCUGGGGAGUACGGUCGCAAGGCUGAAACUCAGAGGAAUUGACGGGGGCCCGCACAAGCGGUGGAGCAUGUGGUUUAAUUCGACGCAACGCGAAGAACCUUACCUGGGCUCGAAAUGUACAGGAAUCCGGUAGAAACAUCGGCGUCCCGCAAGGGACCUGUAUAUAGGUGCUGCAUGGCUGUCGUCAGCUCGUGUCGUGAGAUGUUGGGUUAAGUCCCGCAACGAGCGCAACCCUUAUCUCCAGUUGCUACCAUUUAGUUGAGCACUCUGGCGAAACCGCCUCGGAUAACGGGGAGGAAGGUGGGGAUGACGUCAAGUCCUCAUGGCCUUUAUGUCCAGGGCUACACACGUGCUACAAUGGCCGGUACAAACCGCUGCAACCCCGCGAGGGUGAGCUAAUCGGAAAAAGCCGGCCUCAGUUCGGAUUGGAGUCUGCAACUCGACUCCAUGAAGCCGGAAUCGCUAGUAAUCGUGGACCAGCAUGCCACGGUGAAUACGUUCCCGGGCCUUGUACACACCGCCCGUCACAUCACGAAAGUGGGUUGCACUAGAAGUCGGUGGGCUAACCGCAAGGGAGCAGCCGCCCAAGGUGUAAUUCAUGAUUGGGGUGAAGUCGUAACAAGGUAACC
rnacentral:rRNA from 1 species